rnacentral:misc_RNA from 1 species
ACGGCUGUUGUGUCCUCUCCGAUACCUCACGUGCAAGCGUGCGCCUCGCUUACUUCCCUUCCUCGGUGUGCUCCUCGCACACACACACACACACACACGACGACGGCAUGCGAACGACUGCGCCCACCUCAUGUGUCCUCAUCCCUUUCCUGUGUGGUGUCCGUCCUCUGCCUUUCGACACCGUCUCAGAACCUAGUGGUCGCAGGCACCACCACCUCUCUCUCUCUCUGUGCGUGCGGGGGAGCCAGGCAGCCCACCCACCCACCCAUCCCCUAUCCCUGCCAAUGCCGAACCGCUUCUGGCGGCUACAGAGGUGGGGGGAGGGGGGGUGAGGUCCCGGGCGGCGUGGUGUCGGAGUGGUCUGCGACAGUGAGCACGUCUGUGCCAUCCACAUGAUGGGGGAGCGGCUAUGAGCUGGGUGGGUGGAGUUCGAGGCAGAGGCGGUGCCGAGAGGACGCUGGGGCGGUCGACGAGCGGUAACGCGCGCGUCUACGGCUGCUUGGCACCACGCGAUGGGGUGCUGUGGGGCAGGGCCGGGUGGCUCGCGCGGCGUUUGAGCUCCUGCUGGGAUGUAUGGCAGCGAGACGGUGUGGGCAUGGAAACCAUCUUGCGUGCGGCGCUUCUCCACUCACCACCACCUUCCUCCCUUCCUCCCCGCUUCUCGCGCUAGCAG